rnacentral:tRNA from 1 species
ACCUGACUGGCUCAGUCGGAAGAGCAUGAGACUCUUGGUCUUAGGGUCAUGAGUUCGAGCCCCAUGUGGGUG